rnacentral:tRNA from 11 species
CGGUGGCGUAAUCGAAAGCGCGGACGGCUACGAACUGUGAGGUUGCGGGUUCAAGUCCCGUCUG